rnacentral:rRNA from 1 species
GUGGGGAAUAUUGGACAAUGGGCGAAAGCCUGAUCCAGCCAUGCCGCGUGUGUGAAGAAGGUCUUCGGAUUGUAAAGCACUUUAAGUUGGGAGGAAGGGCAUUAACCUAAUACGUUAGUGUUUUGACGUUACCGACAGAAUAAGCACCGGCUAACUUCGUGCCAGCAGCCGCGGUAAUACGAAGGGUGCAAGCGUUAAUCGGAAUUACUGGGCGUAAAGCGCGCGUAGGUGGUUCGUUAAGUUGGAUGUGAAAGCCCCGGGCUAAACCUGGGAACUGCAUCCAAAACUGGCGAGCUAGAGUACGGUAGAGGGUGGUGGAAUUUCCUGUGUAGCGGUGAAAUGCGUAGAUAUAGGAAGGAACACCAGUGGCGAAGGCGACCACCUGGACUGAUACUGACACUGAGGUGCGAAAGCGUGGGGAGCAAACAGGAUUAGAAACCCCUGUAGUCC